AUUUGAUCAGGAACUUAUUGGUGUAGUAUUUUACUGUGAUCAGCAGUUGGCCACCCAAUUUCACAAACUGCUGUCUCCCACUUAAAUAACUUUUCACCCAAUCCAGCACUAUUCUUUUGAUACCACAUUUUUCCAGUUCAUUAAUUAUGAUUUAUAUAUUUCAUAUAUAAAGAAACACUGAAGAAAGAUUUCUCUCAAUUAAUUGUUCAUCAUGUGUUCCUGAAACAGGGAUUUUUCUUGCAAGGUGAAGUCCAACACUUACAAAGAAUUCACUGCAUCUGUUAGCCAUAUCUUUCAUGUUAAAAUUUUUCAGUAUCCUUAUCAAUGCAAUAUGUAGGUAUAUUAUUGUAUUUAGAUCAAUUUAGUAUUUUCCAUAUUCCUUAUUUCUAAUAUCAUCUAUUAUCCUCUUGAAGUAAUCUUUCUUAAUUGCCCGUAUAAUAUCAGUUAAACUAUUCUUAUAUUUUUUUAUAUUUAUAUUCUGCCUCCUUAGUUCUUUGUCUUAUGAAAUCUUUGAGUAUAGAGUAUUUUUCUUUCUGCAGGCAUUUUUUAGACCUUUUGUGAUCCAUGGGCAAUUUGUAUAAGCUUGUUUUCUGAUAUAUUUUACAACAGGACAAUGCUUAUCAUAUAAUGAGGAAAAUAUUCUCAGAAACUUAUUAUAUCCAAGGUUAACCUCUUUUCUCACUAUAUAUUAUAUCCCAAUUAUACCCCAUUAAUUCAUUUUUUUAAUCUGUUCUUACUCUUCCGUGUAUUGUUUGCUUGAUUGACUUGUUGCUGUGACUGAUGUCAUAAACUGUAAACACUGGCAUUGGAUCAUACUGCAUAUUGUACUGAUACAUUCAUCUAUGUAAUCAAAUUCCUCCAUCUCUGUUUGUUGAUAUUUACUUAUCUUUUGUUUUUUGUUUGUUAUUUUCAGUAGUGAAGAUUUGUGUUUAGUGUUCAUGCAUCACAUGCUGAUGGCUGAUGCAUAUCUCCGGACCAGUGGGUGGCAUGUCUCAGUGGUGUUUAAAUCCACCUGAAUCCCCUUUGAGUGGAGGAAGGCAGCCACCUGUUGCUCAGCAGAUCUGUCAUCCGUAUCACUGGGCUCCAUUCCGUUGGCAGCGGUCACCACCCGGGCGUAGGACCGAGGUGUGAUGCGUAGCCCGGUCACGAACUCAUCGUUGAUCCAGGAAUAUUGCUCCAGGUCCGUGACUCUGUUCUCCAGCUCCACCAGCCGGUCCUUCUCGGCGUUCUGGAUCCGGAAAGCAUUCAACUCCUCCAGCAACUCCAGGAGUCCUCUCUGAUGCUGUUGAAGAGUAGAAAUCUCCUCGACCAGAAACUCCAGGGUCUUUUUUGAUCUAAUCUCCCUCCUCCGCUGUCAGAGCUUUCUUCGGCUGAAUGCUGUUGCUGAGUAACAGUGCCAAUCAGCUGUUAGCCAAGCUAGCGGCUCGCUAGUUCGCUAGUUCGAUGUUCUUAAUCCAGGGUCAGUAGGAAGAGAAGACAAAGAAAAGUAUAAUAUAGUCCAACACCGAGAACACACACACAACAAACGAGCAACCAGCUACCUGCCACACUUCGAACUGCGGAAGCAAGUGUUCUCUAUCCACCUUAAGCAGGAGGCCUACGUUUUCAGAAUCCAGUUUGACUUUUUCAGACUCUGGGGUCCAGACAUUGACUUGAGGCAUGGAAGUGUGAGAGUCACCAAAGUUUGAGCUGCUCCCAUAAUAAGGCACCACGAGUCCAUGUUGACAAUCAAGCAGCUGAACUACUUCCUGCGACGACUGGCAGCUCCCUUCUUGCUGCUGCAGAGCAAAAACUCAUCAAUACGGUUUCUGAGAGAGAUGACCUGAAAGACAAAGACAACUCAGUCUGUAGUGGACAGGACAGGACAGGACAGGAACUGAAGGACAUCAGCUUAACUCAGAUUGGUCACGUGUUGUUGUUUAAAAAACAGCAAUGAGAAAGAAGAAUUCCCUUAAACUUGAACCGUGAUGUAAAUAAUCUCAAACAUAAGGUGUAACAUAUCAUUCAGUUUAAUAAUAAAAUUAUGGAAAAUAGAGAGAAAAAAUGAAAUGGGAUGAGUCGUGAUGGGAUGAAAUGUAAUGACUUUACACCAAGUCAUUAGGAUGAGGUGAGGUGAUGACAUCAGACCAAGUCCCUGAGUUGAGACAGUGU